UACAGAGGUCUCAAGCGUUGUUCGGAUUCAUUGGGCGUAAAGGGUGCGUAGGCGGCGCGGUAAGUCGGGUGUGAAAUCUCGGAGCUUAACUCCGAAACUGCAUUCGAUACUGCCGUGCUUGAGGACUGGAGAGGAGACUGGAAUUUACGGUGUAGCGGUGAAAUGCGUAGAUAUCAGAUGAAGAACCAGUGGCGAAGGCG
rnacentral:rRNA from 1 species